CUCCCCGACUUCACUGGGGCACCUUGGUUCUUCAGGCAGGUACCCUCACCAAGUCAUGAGGAGCAACUUUAUACAGAGGCCUCCUGAGAAACCCUGUCCCGGUAGCUGUCAGAACGGUGCCCCCAGAGCCACCUUUGAUCUCUACCAUCUGCUCAGCGAGCGCUGGUGCAACUCAGGAAGUGGUGAAGGUCAGCAGAGCCCUAACCUUGUGAGGCCUGGGUUGUCCUUCCCUGAGGCCUGGGUUCUGUGAUGGGAGAGGAUCCACAUCCUAACAUGUCCCCACGAAGAAGGAAAUACACAUGGCCAAAGAGGAAACGAGAGUCAAAAGCCCCUAGACAUGAGACCAGAAAGUACAGGAAGCACAGUGCCACCCACUCUCCAGGAAGCUACCCGGGCACAAGAACAGAUGAUAUAGCUGUGGCUUUGUCCUGGGAAAAAAACAUUUGUCAAGUCAGACGUCCUUGGUACUGGAAUAGCUGCGCUGAUAUGGUUGGGGCCUUGUCCCAGGAACUCCAGGAUGAGAAACAUCUACCUAGUCAGAUAUCCUUGCCACCGAAGUAGCUGAGCUAAUGAAGCUGUGUGACCUUGUGGUGACUAUAUAGACUGUAUGUUCCUGCUGUCCCAGGCUCUUCAUAUCCCUCCUGCGUGAGGACCGUGUCAAGCCCCAGUGCACUGGUAUCCCAAGUAAACCUCUUGUUUGUACAUCAAGACUGAGUCCCGUGUGUUUGUGGGUGGUGGGUGUCCUCAGGAUUGGAGCAAGAGUCUCCUCUAUCUGAGGGUCUUUCAUACACACACACAAACAAACACACACACACACAAACACACACACACAAAUACACAUACACACAAAUACAUGCACACACAUCACACACACACAAAUACACACACAUAUCACACACACAAAUACACACACACACACCACACACACAAUUACACACACACAAAUACACACACACCAUACAUAUACACAAAUACACACAUACCACACACACA